rnacentral:lncRNA from 1 species
GGUUCUGUUAUAAAUCUUUAUUUUUUAAGACUUGAACACCUGCAGAAUUAAAUACAAAAGCAAUCAAAAAUCAUCAUAUUUUCUAAAAACAGUUUUCCAUUUGGGGCUUGCGGCCCUCUUCAAUAAAAUCAUUCUGAAGAUUUAAAGAGGUUUCAGCUUCAAAUUCUCAGAAUAAAGACUCCUUUUGAGAGGGGCUACAGAAGCCCCCAUGAGCUUCCUGCUCCUCAAAACUAACAGGCAAAACAACAAACCUCCUAGAAAGCAAAUAUGACCCUUCUCAAUACAGAGCUUUUCCCACCCUAAUUUGUAGUUUUUCAGAAAAGACUGGGGAAGCAGGUAACAGCGAGCAAGUCAUCUUGUGAAGAAGGUCCUGGAGCGAGCCCUGGAGCGGGGGCUCCCCAGGAGGGCCCGAGCAGCGGAGACUUCUCACUCCACCUCUCCAGUCUCUGAUCAGCACACAGUCGGUGGGGCGCUCACACUUGGAAAAGCUUCCAGGAGGCAGCUCUUCAGUAGUGACCAAGGCACACGUGGUCCAUGGACAAUUUUAUCCUGCGAGAGACAGGAAGGAGAACUUGGUGAACCGUGUCAACUCUGAAGAAAGGCAGACAAACGCAAACCCACAUGCGGCAGGCAGGCAGUUAUGACAGGCCCGCCCAGCAGCUGUCACUGAGAACGUGGCUUCUGGACCCUGCUGACAAAUGGCUGUAGAGGAAAGCUGGAGGGAGCUCCUGGCAGAAGUGAAAAUGCCCACUUGCAGAAGAGGAUGGCAGCCCCUUCUGCUUUCAGAAUGACAUCGACCUUUCAAGCGUCACCGCUGCAUUAGUUACCUGUGAAGCGGAUACGGCUUCUCACAAAGGUUGACCAGCACGUACAAAUGUCUCAACGCAUACUCGUACUGGGAGAAAACAAACGAGAAGAAUGAAACUUCCUCAUCUCACCACACAAUCCACUCCACUUUUGCAAUUGCAGAGGGGAAGCAUCUUGACCAGUGGCUCUUGCCCUAUUUUGGUUCAUGGAUCCUUUCCCAACCUUUAGAUAAUCUGGUGAUAUUUAUGGACGAUCCCUCAGGAAAGAGGCACACAUGCCAGGGUUUGCAUGCAAGUUGGGGGGCUGGCGGGGUUCUGCACUCUCAAAUCUGAGGGCAGGACUCCUGACAGGGAACUCCCGAUGGCUCUGCUCCCCGCCAUGGCCUGGGAUCUCCCCGGGAAGUCUGCCUUUUGAUUCUGGGAGGGACACGCCAGCGAGGGAGAUGGACGGCGUGUGAAAGCCACGCUGGAUCACACCAGGGAAGGGUGAAGCAGCGGGGAUGUUUAUCUUGAAACAAACUUCAGGGGAACCCAAGAACUCUCUGAGAACAAAGGAAGAGGUUCACUGUGCAUGACUCCAAAGGUCAAAAGACCAAGACUGGGCCGGGUGCGGUGGCUCAUGCUUGUAAUCCCAGCACUGUGGGAGGCCGAGGCAGGUGGGUCACCUGAGGCCAGAAGUUCAGGACCAGCCUGGACAACAUGGUGAAACCCUGUCUCUACUAAAAAUACGAAAAUUAGCCAGGUGUGGUGGCGCGUGCCUGUAAUCCCAGCUACUCGGGAGGCUGAGGCAGGAGAAUUGCUUGAACCCAGGAGGCAGAGGUUGCAGUGAGCUGAGAUCACACCACUGCACUCUAGCCUGGGCAACAAGAGCAAAACUGUGUCUAAAACAAACAAACAAACAAAAAAAACAAGACUGGAGGGGUAAAGUCGAGCUACCUUAACUCUGCCCCAGUGUGAAAGAAGCCAGGGACAGGGACAACAGGGAACUGAGCAGGAUGUGGCUAUGUUCCAAUAAAACUUUUUUUUGGAGACAGAGUUUCACUCUGUCGCCCAGGCUGGAGUAUAGUGGCACAAUCUCGGCUCAUUGCAACCUCCACCUCCCUGGUUCAAGCGAUUCUCCUGCCUCAGCCUCCCGAGUAGUUGGGAUUACGGGCGUGCACCACCAAGUCUGGCUAAUUUUGGUAUAUUUAGUAGAGAUGAGGUCUUACC